UAAUUCACUCUUUUCUCCUGCUUCUUCCUGUACUUCUCUCUGUAUCCAAACAUAGGGUACAACAAUCCAAAAGAUUACCGGGUCGGAUCCACCCACGAGUCUCACUCCUUCCUUUUUCACAUUUCAAACACACGCACACCAGUAAAUUGAACACUCGAGGAGGGUGUGAAGAAAGAGGUGCCCCAUAAGCAAAGCCAUAGUAGCAUAAUAGCAAUGCCUCAAGAACGACAAUGCGCAAUUCAAAGUUGUGUGCAGCGUCUCUUCUCAUAGCACGUACCAAGUCCCUCCAACUUCACCAUCACCGCCACGUGCGUCACUGCUUCCCCUUCUUCUUCUUAAACCGCAAUCCCACUCUUCAGGUUUCACCCUUGGCUCUCUUCCUUGUGCAACGCGAAAUCACUCAUCACCACGCGCCUCUUCUCCAGCUACUACUCCCUCGAACAGUUCUCUGAUGACGAAUACGACUGCGACUUCGAGAACCAACAGUGAGUUGUUUGGAAAAGUGGUUGUUGCUAGCAAGGUGCCUCUUCCUAACUACUGUCCAGAUUUGGAUGACAAACGUCCACAAAGAGAGUUGGUGAUUCCACUAAGCUUGCAAAGGAGGGUUGAGGUGAGGGUUUGUUGCAGGAAUACCUUGAUAGACUUCAGCUGAAUUCUGCAAAGACAACUGAUAGCCUGGAUGAUUUGAACUCCACUAAUCAAGUUAAAGAUAUAGACAUGGAUGAAAAUGCUGAUUCUUUUGUGGAUGAAUCUGUUAUGGAAAAGGUUCUCCAGAAGAGGAGUUUGAGGAUGCGUAACAUGCAAAGAGCUUGGCAGGAAUCUCCUGAGGGCAGGAAGAUGCUGGAAUUCCGGAAGUCUCUACCAUCAUUCAAGGAGAAGCAAGGUUUACUUGAAGCUAUAGCACAUAAUCAGGUGAUUGUUGUAUCUGGAGAGGCUGGCUGUGGUAAAAUCACUCAACUUCCUCAGUAUGUAUUAGAAUCAGAGAUAGAGUCUGGUCGUGGAGCAUUUUGUAGCAUUAUUUGCACACAGCCUCGAAGGAUCUCUGUUAUGGCAGUGGCAGAGAGAGUGUCAGCAGAGCGAGGAGAGCCUCUUGGUGAAACAGUUGGCUUCGAAGUUCGACUAGAAGGAAUGAAAGGAAAAAACACCCAUCUGCUAUUUUGUACCAGUGGUAUAUUACUUAGAAGGUUGUUGAGUGAUCGAAACCUGACUGGUAUAACCCAUGUUUUUGUUGAUGAAAUUCAUGAAAGAGGCAUGAAUGAAGACUUCUUACUGAUUGUGUUAAAGGAUCUGCUUCCACGCUGUCGUGAUUUAAGAUUGGUUUUAAUGAGUGCCACCUUGAAUGCUGAGCUUUUUUCGAAUUAUUUCGGAGGUGCUCCUACAUUUCAUAUUCCGGGUUUCACCUAUCCAGUUAGAGCACACUUUUUAGAAGAUAUUUUGAAAUGACCGGAUAUAAAUUGACUUCCUUCAACCAAAUUGAUGAUUACGGUCAAGAGAAAUUGUGGAAGACACAAAAGCAACUAGCACCACGGAAGAGGAAAAACCAGAUCGCUGCUCUCGUUGAGGAUGCUCUUUCUAAAUCAAGCUUUGAGAAAUAUAGCUCCAAGGCACGUGAAUCACUAGCAUCUUGGGCACCUGACUGCAUUGGGUUUAAUCUCAUUGAGGCUGUUCUAUGCCAUAUAUGUCGGAAGGAACGACCGGGUGCUGUCUUAGUAUUUAUGACUGGGUGGGAGAAUAUAAGCUCUUUAAGAGAUCAGCUUAAAGCAAUCCUCUUUUAGGAGAUCCCAAUAGGGUUCUGCUUCUAACAUGUCAUGGUUCAAUGGCAAUUUCAGAACAGGCUUUAGCAGGGACAGCGAAGUCUAGGUUUUCUGCUAAAGAUUACAGUGAUCAUAUGGCUCUUGUUUGAGCAUAUGAAGGAUGGAAAGAUGCGGAAAGAGAAGGGUCGGCUUACGAGUACUGCUGGAGAAAUUUUCUAUCAGCCCAAACUCUUCAGGUUAUUCAUUCACUUUAGAAACAGUUUAGCUUUAUCUUGAAAGAAGCUGGCUUGGUAGAUGCAGAAGCGAGUGUCAUUAACAAAUUGAGUCACAAUCAGUCUCUUGUGCGUGCAGUCAUAUGUUCUGGACUCUUUCCUGGCAUAGCAUCAGUGGUGCACAGGGAGACAUCCAUGUCAUUCAAAACAAUGGAUGAUGGCCAGGUUUUAUUGUAUGCUAAUUCAGUGAAUGCACGUUACCAGACCAUUCCUUACCCUUGGUUGGUUUUUGGUGAGAAAGUUAAGGUCAAUGCUGUUUUCAUCCGUGAUUCCACUGGUGUAUCUGAUUCAAUACUUAUCCUUUUUGGUGGUGCUCUAAGUAAUGGGAUACAGGCUGGGCAUCUGAAAAUGUUAGAUGGGUAUGUUGACUUCUUCAUGGAUCCUAAUUUAGCUGACAGCUAUGUGAAGCUUAAGGAAGAGCUCAAUAAGCUUAUCCAGAAGAAGCUGGAAGAUCCUAGCAUUGACAUUCACAAGGAAGGGAAAUACUUGAUGCUUGCUGUUCAGGAGCUGGUUUCAGGGGAUCAAUGUGAAGGAAGGUUUGUAUUUGGCCGCGAAAGCCGGAAGCCUAAGGCCUCCAAUGAUGAAAACAAAUUUACGAAAGAUGGAACAAAUCCCAAGAGCUUGCUGCAGACACUGUUGAUGCGAGCAGGGCACUCCCCACCAAAAUACAAAACGAAACAUCUUAAGACAAAUGAGUUUAGGGCACUGGUGGAGUUCAAGGGAAUGCAAUUUGUUGGCAAACCAAAGAGAAACAAGCAACUUGCAGAAAGGGAUGCAGCUAUAGAGGCAUUGGCUUGGUUGACUCACACCUCUGACAAUAAUCAGCAUGAAGAUGAUAAGUCUCCUCCUGAUAUAACUGACAACAUGCUAAAACUCCUAGGGAAGCGUAGAAAAUCAAAGCAAGGCCAUGGUUGACAUGUCGUCCAUACAUGGUUUUAUGCGAGUUGGUCCUAUCCUAAUCUUGGAUUAGUAGCCCAGCAUCAUGCAAUUUAAUGCAUGAUGAUGAAAGAUAGGGAUUUAGGUGACAUUUCAUCAAUACAUGGUUAUAGGUGAGUUGAUCCCAUCCUUUCAUCUUGGAUUCAUAGCCCAGCUCCCUGCAAUUUAAUGUAUGAUGAUGAAAGAAAGGGAUUUAGGAGACCUGGUAUGAGGUGCUCAGUCUUGGCAGUUGUUGGCGCUUAAAAGUUCAUUGUAUAUUUUAGCCGUCCCCCUUCAAGCCAAACCCAACAUUUUGGUAUCAAUCUGUACACCAAUGUUUUUAUAUAUCUUGUGUCAAUGUCAAAGACCAAGAUACAUAAAGUUGUUAGUUAGGGAUAACAUUGCAAUUUCUUAUAGCAACAUAAUGAAAUCAAUAUUUUAUAUUUUGCUGCA